GACGAACGCUGGCGGCGUGCUUAACACAUGCAAGUCGAACGGAAAGGCCUGCUUUCCCUUGUGGAUUGCGGGUGCUCGAGUGGCGAACGGGUGAGUAACACGUGAGUGAUCUGCCCCCAACUUGGGUAUAAGCCUGGGAAACUGGGUCUAAUUCCCGAUAGGACUGCAGGGUGGUGCCUGUGGUGGAAAACGAUUUUCUAGUGGUUGGGGAUGGGCUCGCGGCCUAUCAGCUUGUUGGUGGGGUAAUGGCCUACCAAGGCGGCGACGGGUAGCCGGCCUGAGAGGGUGGACGGCCACAUUGGGACUGAGAUACGGCCCAGACGCCUACGGGAGGCAGCAGUGGGGAAUAUUGCACAAUGGGCGGAAGCCUGAUGCAGCGACGCCGCGUGGGGGAUGACGGCCUUCGGGUUGUAAACUCCUUUCGACCGCGAGGAAGCCACCUGGUUGGAAGGGUGGUGACGGUAGUGGUAGAAGAAGCACCGGCUAACUACGUG
rnacentral:rRNA from 1 species